UUGGGUGGCGUGAUGCGGCGGGGAUCACCUCUUUCCAUUCCGAACAGAGAAGUUAAGUCCGUUAGCGCUGAUGGUACUUGGUAAACCCUGGGAGAGUAAGUAGUUGCCCAAU
rnacentral:rRNA from 2 species